GAUGAAGAACGUAGCAAAAUGCGAUAAGUAAUGUGAAUUGCAGAAUUCAGUGAAUCAUCGAAUCUUUGAACGCACAUUGCGCCCGCCAGUAUUCUGGCGGGCAUGCCUGUUCGAGCGUCAUUUCAACCCUCAAGCACAGCUUGGUGUUGGGACUCGCGUUAAUUCGCGUUCCCCAAAUUGAUUGGCGGUCACGUCGAGCUUCCAUAGCGUAGUAGUAAAACCCUCGUUACUGGUAAUCGUCGCGGCCACGCCGUUAAACCCCAACUUCUGAAUGUUGACCUCGGAUCAGGUAGGAAUACCCGCUGAACUUAAGCAUAUCAAUAACGGAGG
rnacentral:misc_RNA from 1 species